rnacentral:misc_RNA from 1 species
GAUGAAGAACGGAGCGAAAUGCGAUACUUGGUGUGAAUUGCAGAAUCCCGUGAACCAUCGAGUCUUUGAACGCAAGUUGCGCCCGAAGCCAUUAGGCCGAGGGCACGCCUGCCUGGGCGUCACACGUCGUUGCCCCCCCAUCAACUCCUUCGGGAUUGCGGGGGGCGGAUGAUGGCCUCCCGUGCGCCUCGUCGUGCGGUUGGCAUAAAUGCCAAGUCCUCGGCGACGCACGCCACGACAAUCGGUGGUUGCGAAACCUCGGUUGCCAGUCGUGUGCGGUCGUCGCGCAUCGAGGGCUCGAAAAAAUUGCCAGGCUCUGUUUCGGCUUUCAACGCGACCCCAGGUCAGGCGGGGUUACCCGCUGAAUUUAAGCAUAUCAAUAAGCGGAGGA